AUUGAACGCUGGCGGCAGGCCUAACACAUGCAAGUCGAACGAGUGGCGGACGGGUGAGUAAUGUCUGGGAAACUGCCUGAUGGAGGGGGAUAACUACUGGAAACGGUAGCUAAUACCGCAUACCAUCGGAUGUGCCCAGAUGGGAUUAGCUUGUUGGUGGGGUAACGGCGAACCAAGGCGACGAUCCCUAGCUGGUCUGAGAGGAUGACCAGCCACACUGGAACUGAGAAACGGUCCAGAUUCCAACGGGAGGAAGCAGUGGGGAAGAUUGCACAAUGGGCGAAAGCCGGAUGCAGCCAUGCCGCGUGUAUGAAGAAUGCCUUCGGGUUGUAAAGUACUUUCAGCGGGGAGGCGUUACCCGCAGAAGAAGCACCGGCUAACUCCGUGCCAGCAGCCGCGGUAAUUC
rnacentral:rRNA from 1 species